AAGGCUUUUCUGACAGAGUUAAUUUAAUCUGAGAUAUGAACACCAGCCAUGGAAGUGGAGAGGAUCAUCUGCUGCGAAGGGCAGAAUGGCAAGAAGUCCUCAUCAUCAAUCUCUAAAUGAAGUUACUUGAAGCAAUUCUUGAAACCAUAAUAAUAAUGUCUCCAGAAUUGGUGGAUUCUUGGUCUCACUGACUUCACGAAUGAAGCCACGGACCCUCGCGCUUUGAUGCCUGAAGGUACAACAAACAUCUCAUGACUAUGAGGGGAUGAAAAUGGAUACCAAGGAUGCCAAGAUGAUGGAACAAAAAGAAUUGAUUUGGAACACAACGGCACUAUG